rnacentral:rRNA from 1 species
UAUUGGUCAAUGGUCGGGAGACUGAACCAGCCAAGCCGCGUGAGGGAGGAAGGUACAGAGUAUCGUAAACCUCUUUUGUCAGGGAACAAAGACUGGGACGCGUCCCCGGAUGAGUGUACCUGAAGAAAAAGCAUCGGCUAACUCCGUGCCAGCCGCCGCGGUAAUACGGAGGAUGCGAGCGUUAUCCGGAUUUAUUGGGUUUAAAGGGUGCGCAGGCGGUCUGUUAAGUCAGCGGUCAAAGCCCGGGGCUCAACCCCGGCCCGCCGUUGAAACUGGGGGCCUUGAGUGGGCGAGAAGAAGGCGGAAUGCGUGGUGUAGCGGUGAAAUGCAUAGAUAUCACGCAGAACCCCGAUUGCGAAGGCAGCCUUCCGGCGCCCUACUGACGCUGAGGCACGAAAGUGCGGGGAUCG